rnacentral:tRNA from 1 species
GCGCCCGUAGCUCAGUUGGAUAGAGCGUCUGCCUUCUAAGCAGAGGGUCGGGAGUU